GAAAUGCGAUAAGUAGUGUGAAUUGCAGAAUUCAGUGAAUCAUCGAAUCUUUGAACGCACAUUGCGCCCCUCGGUAUUCCGUGGGGCAUGCCUGUUCGAGCGUCAUCUACACCCUCAAGCUCUGCUUGGUGUUGGGCGUCUGUCCCGCCUCCGCGCGCGGACUCGCCCCAAAUGCAUUGGCAGCGGUUCCUUGCCCCCCUCUUUGCGCAGCACAUUGCCAUUCGAGGCGGCGGCGGCCCGCGUCCAACAAGCUCAACCCCCCCGUCUUUGACCUCGGAUCAGGUAGGGACACCCGCUGAACUUAAGC
rnacentral:misc_RNA from 1 species